UUAAGUUAUUAAGGGCGCACGGUGGAUGCCUUGGCACUAGAAGCCGAUGAAGGACGUUACUAACGACGAUAUGCUUUGGGGAGCUGUAAGUAAGCUUUGAUCCAGAGAUUUCCGAAUGGGGAAACCCAGCAUGAGUUAUGUCAUGUUAUCGAUAUGUGAAUACAUAGCAUAUCAGAAGGCACACCCGGAGAACUGAAACAUCUUAGUACCCGGAGGAAGAGAAAGAAAAUUCGAUUCCCUUAGUAGCGGCGAGCGAAACGGGAAGAGCCCAAACCAACAAGCUUGCUUGUUGGGGUUGUAGGACACUCUGUACGGAGUUACAAAGGACGACAUUAGACGAAUCAUCUGGAAAGAUGAAUCAAAGAAGGUAAUAAUCCUGUAGUCGAAAAUGUUGUCUCUCUUGAGUGGAUCCUGAGUACGACGGAGCACGUGAAAUUCCGUCGGAAUCUGGGAGGACCAUCUCCUAAGGCUAAAUACUCUCUAGUGACCGAUAGUGAACCAGUACCGUGAGGGAAAGGUGAAAAGCACCCCGGAAGGGGAGUGAAAUAGAACCUGAAACCGUGUGCUUACAAGUAGUCAGAGCCCGUUAAUGGGUGAUGGCGUGCCUUUUGUAGAAUGAACCGGCGAGUUACGAUUUGAUGCAAGGUUAAGCAGUAAAUGUGGAGCCGUAGCGAAAGCGAGUCUGAAUAGGGCGUUUAGUAUUUGGUCGUAGACCCGAAACCAGGUGAUCUACCCUUGGUCAGGUUGAAGUUCAGGUAACACUGAAUGGAGGACCGAACCGACUUACGUUGAAAAGUGAGCGGAUGAACUGAGGGUAGCGGAGAAAUUCCAAUCGAACCUGGAGAUAGCUGGUUCUCUCCGAAAUAGCUUUAGGGCUAGCCUCAAGUGAUGAUUAUUGGAGGUAGAGCACUGUUUGGACGAGGGGCCCCUCUCGGGUUACCGAAUUCAGACAAACUCCGAAUGCCAAUUAAUUUAACUUGGGAGUCAGAACAUGGGUGAUAAGGUCCGUGUUCGAAAGGGAAACAGCCCAGACCACCAGCUAAGGUCCCAAAAUAUAUGUUAAGUGGAAAAGGAUGUGGCGUUGCCCAGACAACUAGGAUGUUGGCUUAGAAGCAGCCAUCAUUUAAAGAGUGCGUAAUAGCUCACUAGUCGAGUGACACUGCGCCGAAAAUGUACCGGGGCUAAACAUAUUACCGAAGCUGUGGAUUGUCCUUUGGACAAUGGUAGGAGAGCGUUCUAAGGGCGUUGAAGCAUGAUCGUAAGGACAUGUGGAGCGCUUAGAAGUGAGAAUGCCGGUGUGAGUAGCGAAAGACGGGUGAGAAUCCCGUCCACCGAUUGACUAAGGUUUCCAGAGGAAGGCUCGUCCGCUCUGGGUUAGUCGGGUCCUAAGCUGAGGCCGACAGGCGUAGGCGAUGGAUAACAGGUUGAUAUUCCUGUACCACCUAUAAUCGUUUUAAUCGAUGGGGGGACGCAGUAGGAUAGGCGAAGCGUGCGAUUGGAUUGCACGUCUAAGCAGUAAGGCUGAGUAUUAGGCAAAUCCGGUACUCGUUAAGGCUGAGCUGUGAUGGGGAGAAGACAUUGUGUCUUCGAGUCGUUGAUUUCACACUGCCGAGAAAAGCCUCUAGAUAGAAAAUAGGUGCCCGUACCGCAAACCGACACAGGUAGUCAAGAUGAGAAUUCUAAGGUGAGCGAGCGAACUCUCGUUAAGGAACUCGGCAAAAUGACCCCGUAACUUCGGGAGAAGGGGUGCUCUUUAGGGUUAACACCCAGAAGAGCCGCAGUGAAUAGGCCCAAGCGACUGUUUAUCAAAAACACAGGUCUCUGCUAAACCGUAAGGUGAUGUAUAGGGGCUGACGCCUGCCCGGUGCUGGAAGGUUAAGAGGAGUGGUUAGCUUCUGCGAAGCUACGAAUCGAAGCCCCAGUAAACGGCGGCCGUAACUAUAACGGUCCUAAGGUAGCGAAAUUCCUUGUCGGGUAAGUUCCGACCCGCACGAAAGGCGUAACGAUUUGGGCACUGUCUCAACGAGAGACUCGGUGAAAUCAUAGUACCUGUGAAGAUGCAGGUUACCCGCGACAGGACGGAAAGACCCCGUGGAGCUUUACUGUAGCCUGAUAUUGAAAUUCGGCACAGCUUGUACAGGAUAGGUAGGAGCCUUUGAAACGUGAGCGCUAGCUUACGUGGAGGCGCUGGUGGGAUACUACCCUAGCUGUGUUGGCUUUCUAACCCGCACCACUUAUCGUGGUGGGAGACAGUGUCAGGCGGGCAGUUUGACUGGGGCGGUCGCCUCCUAAAAGGUAACGGAGGCGCUCAAAGGUUCCCUCAGAAUGGUUGGAAAUCAUUCAUAGAGUGUAAAGGCAUAAGGGAGCUUGACUGCGAGACCUACAAGUCGAGCAGGGUCGAAAGACGGACUUAGUGAUCCGGUGGUUCCGCAUGGAAGGGCCAUCGCUCAACGGAUAAAAGCUACCCCGGGGAUAACAGGCUUAUCUCCCCCAAGAGUUCACAUCGACGGGGAGGUUUGGCACCUCGAUGUCGGCUCAUCGCAUCCUGGGGCUGUAGUCGGUCCCAAGGGUUGGGCUGUUCGCCCAUUAAAGCGGUACGCGAGCUGGGUUCAGAACGUCGUGAGACAGUUCGGUCCCUAUCCGUCGUGGGCGUAGGAAAUUUGAGAGGAGCUGUCCUUAGUACGAGAGGACCGGGAUGGACAUACCUCUGGUGUACCAGUUGUCGUGCCAACGGCAUAGCUGGGUAGCUAUGUGUGGACGGGAUAAGUGCUGAAAGCAUCUAAGCAUGAAGCCCCCCUCAAGAUGAGAUUUCCCAACUUCGGUUAUAAGAUCCCUCAAAGAUGAUGAGGUUAAUAGGUUCGAGGUGGAAGCAUGGUGACAUGUGGAGCUGACGAAUACUAAUCGAUCGAAGACUUAAUCAA
rnacentral:rRNA from 1 species